GACGAACGCUGGCGGCGUGCUUAACACAUGCAAGUGGAGCGACGAAGCGGGCUUCGGCCCGUGGCAGAGCCGCGAACGGGUGAGUAACACGUGGGGAACCUGCCCCGAUGACCGGGACAACCCGAGGAAACUCGGGCUAAUACCGGCUGUGGUCACCUCACAUAAGUGAGAUGACUAAAGAUAUCUUCGGCCUUCGCAUCGGGAUGGGCCCGCGGCGCAUUAGCUUGUUGGUGAGGUAACGGCUCACCAAGGCAACGAUGCGUAGCUGGUCUGAGAGGACGAUCAGCCACACUGGGACUGAGACACGGCCCAGACUCCUACGGGAGGCAGCAGUGGGGAAUCUUGCGCAAUGCGCGAAAGCGUGACGCAGCAACGCCGCGUGGGGGAAGAAGGCCUUCGGGUUGUAAACCCCUUUCAGGAGGGACGAAGCCCGGCUGGUGAAUAGCCAGUCCAGGUGACGGUACCUCCACAAGAAGCCCCGGCUAACUACGUGCCAGCCGCCGCCGUAAUAC
rnacentral:rRNA from 1 species